rnacentral:rRNA from 1 species
GUCUCAGUUCGGAUUGGAGUCUGCAACCCGACUCCAUGAAGCUGGAUUCGCUAGUAAUCGCGCAUCAGCCACGGCGCGGUGAAUACGUUCCCGGGCCUUGUACACACCGCCCGUCAAGCCAUGGAAGCCGGGAGUGCCUGAAGUACGCGACCGCAAGGAGCGUCCUAAGGUAAAACCGGUGACUGGGGCUAAGUCGUAACAAGGUACC